UCCUUCAUGUUUUUCCCAAUACCAGGAAGUUUCUAUAUAUAGUAAUGCCCUUGAGAAUCUCUGAUUAUUUUCAGGUUUUAUUUUCUUUUUUUUUUUUUUUUUUUAAUUGAGACAGAUGAAACAGCCUUAUUGGUUUUAGUUUUGGCAGGUCUGGUUUUUUUCUCUGCAUGAUGGUUUACUUAUUAUCUACAUUUAAGCUUCUUUUUAUUUAUGGGUUUUUUGUUCCCCAAGCAAUUAUUUUGACAGUCUUUUGUUCACUUCUUACUUAAUGUUCCAUAGAUGAAUAGUUUGGACUCUCUUUUUAUAGGAAUAUAAAGAUCUCAGAAAGCUGUAUUUCUAAUUUUGAUAACAUUCUCUCUAGUAAUAUGUGUCCAACCCUUUUCUUGAGUCAGUAUCGCCGUGUGAGUGGUCAGCAACACCUGAAAGGGACCUUCAAACUUAGGCAUUAGAAGCGUAUUGUUCCAUGAUUUAAUUAGUACGCAAUCCCCAGGAUGAAUAUCAUGAACAUUUAUAUCAUGAGGAGAGGUUUGAGGUAUAUAUCCCUUUUUUCUGAGGGCUUCUAACGUUUUCCCAAUUGCUCCUAAAUACUUCCAUGUAGCUUCUUCUCCAUCUAGAUAAUUUCCAGUACUGUAGGGGGACAAUAAGAAGGGAAGCCCAAACAUCAUCUCACAGGGGGAGACCCCUAUGUCUGCUCGGGGUCUUGUUCUAAUACGUAAUAAGGCUAAGGGCAAGCACUUUAGCCAAUUUAAUUUGGUCUCAGAUAUUAACUUUGUCAACACAUUUUUAAGUGUUUUAUUCAUCCUUUCAACUCUGCCCGGGCUCUGGGGAUGCCAUGGAGUAUGUAGUCUCCAUUUCAUCUCCAAGGCUUCAAUUAUUCGUUGUAAGGCCUGAGCAGCAAAGUGAGGCCCUCUAUCAGAAUCAAUCGUGUUUACUAAACCAUACCGGGGAAUGAUUUCUUCCAGGAUUAUCUUUGCAACCACUUCUGCAGUUUCCUUUUUGGUGGGGAAAGCUUCCACCCAAUGGGUGAGGUGAUCUACUAUUACCAAUAGAUGCUUAUAUCCCUGUGCUAGGGGCAUUUCAGUGAAAUCUGUCUGUAUGUUUUGGAAUGGUCUUAAAGCCAAUUCUCUUCCCCCAGGUUCUAUUCUUCUCAUUACUUUUUGAUUAACUUUUUGACAGAUUACACACCCUUUGGUUAUUGUCCUAGCUAAUUCAUACACUCCGAUGCAUAUGUUUUCUCUCAAGAAGUGGUUGCAUAGUCCCUGGAUUCCCCAAUGUGUUAAUUCGUGGAUUUCUGUUAAUACCUUCCGUGCUAAUGCCUGGUUUAGAAACCUCCUCCCAUCUUGAGUUAACCAUUCACCACGUUCCCCUUGGUGUAAUUUCAAUUCCUCUAUCGCCUUUCGUUCCUUCUCACUAAAGAUUGGCCUUACUUCGUCUUCUUGUUGUCUGGCUUUCCUUUCUAGCUUGAAGAUCUUAAUUGGUUCUCCUAUUUCUAAGGCUGCCUCCUUAGCCUUUUGGUCAGCAAGUUUGUUUCCUUUUAUUUCAAAAUUAUCUCCUUUCUGGUGUCCUUUUAUGUGCACUAUUGCUAUUUCUGUUGGCUUUUGUAAAGAUUUUAAUACUAACUUUAUUAGUUCUGUAUGUACUAGAUUUUUCCCUUUAGAAUUUAAAUAUCCACGCUCUUCCCAGAUUUUGCCAAAUGUGUGUACGAUGCCAAAUGCAUAUUGCGAGUCAGUAUAUAUAGUGCCGCUAUCUUUUUCUAACAGAUCUAGUCCUCUUUUUAAUGCAAAUACUUCGCAGCACUGUGCUGACCAAUUCAAAGACAGCUUCCCCUUUUCUACAACUUCCAUAUUUUUACCAUCUAUUAUCGCAUACCCAGAAGCUCUUUUCCCAGAGACUACUCUAGAGGAGCCAUCUGUGAACAAGACUCUCCCAUAAGGGAGGUUUCCUCGGCGCCAUUUUAGAGAGCAGUGGAGGCAGCACUUGACAGAGGUAACAAUGGAGUUUUUGGACUACCUGGACAGCGUGUACAUACUUUCUUUGUUUGUUCCCCCUGGAGUUAUUGACUCUGACUCAUAGUGUGGACCCUCCAGCUGCCCUGUGUAGUCCCAGCCAGGAGCCAUGUAGCCCAACUCACCUUCUCCCCAGCAGCACCCUUAUCUGCACAGCUGAUAGCAGAAAAGAGGAGGUGGUUUUUGUUCUACAGGAAUCCCACAGAUUUUGUGGACACAAUGUAUUAUAGCUGAGCGUCCAGCAUACCAGUGCGAAGUGCCUCUGAAAGGUGAGGACAUAGUCCUGAUGGGACUUAUUGAUACUGGAGCUGAUGUGACUGUUGUCUCAAAAAGCCAAUGGCCCAGUGAGUGGCCACUAAUGACUGUGCCUCAGGUACUCCCAGGCAUGGGUGGGAGUCAUGAAAGCCUGCAAAGCCAACACAGUGCACGUUAUAGGGCGGGAUGGGUGGAUCGCCACAGUUGCACUUUGUGUGCUGUCUGUCCCCAUGGUUUUGUGGGGGAGGGAUGUGUUAACACAGUGGGGAAUUUUUAGGCAUUCAGAUUUCGUACAGGAGUCAUUUGGGACAUUCAACACCCCCACAAUGGUCCCUGGCUGAAGUGCCCCAGGCACUUUGAAGCAUUGGAAGGAGCAGCCCAGCUAUCAAAAGCCACAGUUCAGACAGAUCUAAAGCCCUGAGGGACACCUAGCCCUGGUCAAAUUUCCAGUUACUUGCCUUGUUUUUUAGCAAUGUCUUUUGUUGUGAAUUUUUUGGUACAACUAUUCAGUACUAUGUAACUACACCUCUUUUCGGUUUAGCCUUCAGUGUUUAUAUGCCAUUGCUCUUACUAAGCCAAACUUAAACCUAUCCUACAAGCAAUCUUUAAAGCUGCUGCAGGGCAUGUACCCCCCCCCACCCCCCGCCCCACCUGGCACCAGCCAGUGUUGAGAUUUAUCUUCUAAUUUUAGUAACUUGUGAUUUGUGAUUUUUAAUAGGAUUGUUACUAGAAGAAUUCAAAGGUGUUGGUAUAGAGGUGGAGGUUUCUCUACAUAUUAGUAACAUAGCAAAACUACAUAGUUCACUAAGAGGAAUUAGAGAAUUUUAAAGUCAAGAUUCUUUAGCUCAUAUUCAAGACAAACCUUGAAUUUUACCUGUAGUGAUUUUUCCAGACUUAACUCCAUUGUCAGCUUUACUAAGUGCUUGCUUUUUACUCCAUAGUUCUAACAAGGUAAUUUUAUUAUAAAGAUAUCAGUACAGUUGUUUAUUUGAAUGUUGUUUAUUUUGAUGUUUAACUGUUAGAUGAGAAAUUUUCACUAACCUUUGUAUAAUAAUAGAGUUUAAAUAAGUUAAUUCUUGUUAAGAUUGAUCUUUGUUUAGUCUCGGUGAUGUUAACUUUAAGUUCUUUUAGAGAUACUUUAUUAAGGUUAAGUUUUAGUGAAGCUGAUUUUAAGUUUUGUUGAAGCAUACCUGUUUGAGCCAUAAGAUAUAAUUCCUUUGCUAUACAAGUGAAUGACAUAAAGUCUGAAUGAAUUUUUGUCAACAUUUGCUCAUUUAAACUACAAGAUAACGCUAUUUUGUUAUAGAAAUAAGAACAAUUUUUGCUAUUUUAUUUUUUAUAAGUAAUACUAAAGAAUGAUAAACAAUUCCAUAUUAUGACCAUUAUUAGUUAUGAGUUAUUGAAUGCUUUCUUUUUUACUUUUUUGCUUUAAUGUCAUAUAUGCAAAAAUGUCUAGGAAAAUAUAACCUCAAUUUCAUAAGACAGUUUCUCUUGAUCUAUUAGUCACCCUGAUUAUGUUAUUAAUCUUAUGGUGUGAAUUCACUGUCUUUUUAUAGCAAUCAUUACUUUUUUCAUUUGCUAUUUGUCUGUGGUACCAUUGACUAAGUAACCAUAAAUCAGAAAGCCAGCUACUUCACAAACCUUCAUUUAUGGCUAUACAGCUAUUUAUAAGACAUAUAGUACUUUUCUAACUACUAGUACUAAGAGGUUAUUAAAAUAUAUUAAAAAGACUCUUCCAGUUAAAAGCCUGGACCCUGGCCAAGUCCUGAUCUUAACUAGUAGAGAAAAUUUUCUCCACCAAAAUUAUAUUCAAAUAAUUUUGACUUAACAAAUUUGGGCUUAUAACAGCUACACCUCCUUUUAAAGUGAACUUAGAAAUCUUACCCGGGAAUGAUUUUCCAAGCCAUCACUUUAAAAAAUAAAGCUUGCCAAUUACUACAGACUCUAAGUAAUAGUACAAUACUUAAGAAAUUGAUAAUGUAUUGUUUGAAAUCACCAUUUAUUUUUCAUCUAUUUAUCAACAGAUACUGAUUGUAUCUAUUCUCUGAUUUAUUUUUACUUAGUAUAAGUUUAUUGCUUUAUUACAUAUUGUUAUGCUUUUGUGUGAUCUUCAUGCUCAUAAUGAGAAGCACAUGUGUUGUUAAAAACCAAAAUAUUAGGGAGGAAUAUAGCCUCUCCAGAAUUUUAUGCUAACAUUUACACUAAAAAUUUUUGAAAGAAACCAAAUCAUAUCAAAUUGGAUCCCUUGCCCUCCUGAAACACCCUUGGUGGAGCCCCAAGAAUUAGAAUUCCUGGGUUCUGUGAAACUGGAUUUUUGUGUUAAUUUUAAAUACACAGGAGGGAAUGAGUCUAAACAUCUUUCUCCCAAUCACCCUGUGUAUAAGAAUCAAACUUUUGAUACAAUUACACUUCUGGCAGCCUUUCUAAAUCCAGUAGUCCGGCUGCCAUCAGGAAUGUUUUUAGUUUUUAAAGAUAAAGCGUGAUGAGCCUUUAAGUGGCUGGAGUUUUUAAACUAAAAGAUUCCUUUUAGGAUAGGUAUGUAUGUGGUAAUUUUAAUAAUUAUUGUAUCAAUCAUCAUACUUUUCAAUGUGUGCAGAGAUUAAUUAACAAGGCCACUAAAAUAGUAUUUUUGGUCGAAAGGAAAGGGGGAGAUAUUGCAAUGUUGGGGGACACAAGACAAAUUAUGGACUUUGGGCCUGGUUAACAAAAGAGAUUUGAUAACAGGAUGCCUUGGCAAAAGCAAACGGAACUUUGAAAGUUAGACUUAGAUUGCAAGAAGAUUAAAUCAAACAGGUUUAUCAGAAAAAGAAAAUCCCAUUAAACUCUGCAAGCAAGAGAUGUUGUGACAUGUAAAAGUUUGUGUAUGUGAUUUUAACCUAAUCAUUGUAGUACCCAUUACUAGUCUCCCUGCAAUAAUAUGUAAGUGUUUGUAUCCCACAAUAGAAUUGGAUUCUGAUCACCAAGUCAGUCUUCCCCGUCUCUCUCCAUCACUGACAGGUGUCAGGUUGUAUUCUGACUCCGGCAGUGUUGUUUUGUAUUAUCACAUUAUUUAUUUGAUUUUUAUUUUCUUCCCUAAUAAAGAACUGUUAUUUCUGCUCCCAUAUCUUUGCCUGAGAGGCCCCCUUAAUUUCAAAACUAUAACAAUUUGUAAGGAGGGGUUUUACAUUUUCCAUUUCAGAGGAGGCUCCUGCCUUCCUUAGCAGACACCUGUCUUUUCAAACCAAGACACAUUUUAAAAGUUAAAAGUCAUCUAUUAAAUCACUAACUAAAUGUCUAUCUUUUACAAGGGGAAAAGGGUGAAUUGCUUGCACUGUUAUUCAUGUCUAAAAUUUCCGUGCACUAGAUAUUAGUAAAAGUUUGUUUUUAAAGUAUAAUUACAAAAAGCCUCCUCCAACCAAGCUCAUGAUCCUGAUCAAGCCAUGAACUUGGCUGGUAAAGAAAACUAUAUUAUUAAACCUAGGUGCUCUUUUUCCAUUGAGAGAAAUUAAAAAAGCCUCAUCCAGAAGAGGUUUUUUUCAAGUUCUCAUCAUGAAGAAGAGACCCAAGCAGAGCUCAAAACCCAUGUUUUGUCCUUAUUUUUAUUUAUAAUACAAAGAAAAAGGGGGAAACGGGUUUUCAUGAAGGUACACUGGCAUCUUUGAAUCUUAAGUAAAUAAUAUAACAGUAAAAUAACCCUAUGAUAUUCAUCUGCCUAAAAUACACUUCAGUAGACACUGGAAACCACAGACAAGCAUCCUGAAGUCUACCUACCUCAUGGACAGCUCACAUAAGAACUUCAUUUGUUUACAAUCUAUUCCUAAAAAUAUUAGACCACAUCCUAUUGUAACUGGUCCUGUUAAAAAAGCUGUCUCCCACUUUCUUCAAAGCCACUCUGAAAUUUUGGAAAGUGGAGCUAAAGUCUUCCUGGGGCCUGCUCUUCACAAAGCUGAAUAACUCCAUGUCCCUCCACAUUUCCUGAGAGGACAGCAUUGCUGGCUGGGGGUCUGUGUCAAUCCAUGAACUGGACAGGAAUGCUGAGGAACGUGCCUCGAGCUGUUUGUUUUCCAGCUGUUUGGUUUCCACUCUCAUUACAUGGUUAUGAAAAUGGAAAGAUGCCAGCAGCUCACAUCCCUGGCAGCACACAAAAACCUAAUGUUACCUUACCUUAAAAAGGUAAACUUUUUGACCAAUCCCACAAAGCAAAAGCAUAUUAACAGUAGUUCUAUCCAACCCCUAGAAGCACAGGUACCUUCGGUUAAAACAAUGCUUGCUUAUUUGGAAUACAAUACCUGUUUGCAAGCCUUAAGGUAGAAUGGACUGAGCUCCAUUAUUAAGCUUAGAAGUUCCUAAUAUCUCACUAGAUAUACUUUUCUCUAGCUUAGGGAGUUUUUCUAGCCAAGCGUUAAUACAAAGACCAUUGUUCUAUUUGUCCUUACUUUUUUACAUCUUAUGUAAUUUUGCUGUUGACUUAUCUUAUGGCUGCUGCUUAGCUCUAAUCACAGUUCUGAUGUCUUUGAACCCUGUCUUUUGCAGCUUUCCCCAAACCUUCUGAUUUUAAGGAUUCCCACAAUUCUCCCUCUCUGUCUGACUAAAAAAACCCUUCCAUAACCGUGUCGUUUAUUAACUACCUUGCAUUUCAUAGCUUUACUAUAGUAUAUCUGCUUAUUACUUGCUUAAAACAUCCUUUUUGCUCACCUUAAGCCUUGCUAUUUUUCAACACAGCAAUUUUAAUGCUGUGGAAGUCCAGUCAGUUCAAAGGGCAUAAAUCAUGUCUCAUUGCAAUUACAAGUCAUUGUUCAAAAAAGUCUCACCUGUUCCAAGGUCUUAAUUCAAAACUUUUGUCCAUGUCAAUACCUUCAUCCACCAUCUCUGUGAGAUUUCAAGAACUCUCUGUGAAUCCUAUGUCUCUUACAUGCUAAACACUUCUUUGAUAGUUUUAUCCAUCAUUUGUGACACACACUGAGGCGUGCAAGUUAUUACUCCAGUAUCACUACCAAAACACCCAACACAUAUAGACCUAUCUUACAAAGUUCUCUUUGCCAAGGUGCAAAGCUCCAUCCUAGGAACAAAUCAUCUAACCAGGACCCACCAUCUUCUUUAAUUUCAGCUGUCAAAUCUUUCAGCUUUUGUAUACUUUUGUGGAUGGAUUCAGAAUGAUGAGACAGGUUCAUGCAAGACAAUCCACAAAUUCCUCACAACCAUGUCCAUGUGCCAGGAAAAAAAAAAUCAACAGCUGCUCUAUUUCAAAGGGUAGCAUGCCCAACACUGUUAUCAUCUGUUAGCAUAUCACUGAUUGCAGUGGAUGUGGCAUUAGUUUGUUAAAUGUUUGUUAAACAAUUAAAACCAACCAACAUCAGUGUAUCAUUCAAUUUUGCUCCAUUCUUUUCGUGAGCUAAUUUUUGACAAAAGAUCCUCCCAUAUCCUCCUCAAUUAAAAAACUUUGCUUUUGACCUUUAAUAAAAAUUUCACCUUUGAAAACCCAGUAGAGGGGAUCUAUAACAUCACAAAACAAAAACCACACUUUUGCCAAAAGAGCUCUACAAAACCAACAAUUGACACAUUUAUAAACAGCAUAAAAUCAGAGUUUGCAGGUCACAGCAAGGAACAAGGAAUGUCAGGUGUGACCCGUGAUCCCUCUGUUCAGCUCACGUCUGCGUACUUGCUUCUACGGUCUUGGACUCAUCAACACCUUCUGGGGUGUGAUAUGGUUUGAUGCUUUUCACUGGGACCCACUUAAUUCCUGCACCUGUAGAGACAGAAGCAUACCCUUUGCCCCAAGUGGUUAAUCAGAAAGGACCUUCAAUUUGUCCUGUCCCAGGGUUUCUAAU